AUUGAACGCUGGCGGCAUGCUUUACACAUGCAAGUCGAACGGUAACAGGCCUUCGGGUGCUGACGAGUGGCGAACGGGUGAGUAAUGCAUCGGAACGUGCCCAGAGGUGGGGGAUAACGCAGCGAAAGCUGUGCUAAUACCGCAUGUGAUCUGAGGAUGAAAGCGGGGGACCAGGCAGCAAUGUUUGGCCUCGCGCCUUUGGAGCGGCCGAUGUCAGAUUAGGUAGUUGGUGGGGUAAAGGCCUACCAAGCCGACGAUCUGUAGCUGGUCUGAGAGGACGAACAGCCACACUGGGACUGAGACACGGCCCAGACUCCUACGGGAGGCAGCAGUGGGGAAUUUUGGACAAUGGGCGCAAGCCUGAUCCAGCAAUGCCGCGUGCGGGAAGAAGGCCUUCGGGUUGUAAACCGCUUUUGUACGGAACGAAAAGGCUCUGGCUAAUACCUGGGGCUGAUGACGGUACCGUAAGAAUAAGCACCGGCUAACUACGUG
rnacentral:rRNA from 1 species